ACCACAUCUACCUGCUCAUUCCAUUGUGUUCCCCUGAGAUAUGGAGAAGGUGAGACAGUCUGACGGAACAAUGGUAUUGGACCAGUAUACAGGCCACUAACAGCAGGAGACAAUACCCUUCGCAAAGGAAAAAGGAAACGUGGCAAAGGAAAUACAUUGAAGAAAUGCCCAGGGUGACGCCGGCUCUGUAUGCUUUCAAAAGGACCUGAACGUGAAACAGAUGAUGUUGUGACCUCAUCGGAUAAACAAGGGUUAACACAACCAACAUUGUUGUAAUAGCAACCGGGUGUGUCUGUAAUUCUGGGUGUGAAAGUCACAUCAUCUGCUCUGAAAG
rnacentral:lncRNA from 1 species